AGGGUUUGAUCAUGGCUCAGAACGAACGCUGGCGGUAGGCUUAACACAUGCAAGUCGAACGAACUAAGGGUUGCUUGCAACUUUUAGUUAGUGGCAGACGGGUGCGUAAUGUGUGGGAACUUACCUGGUAGUGGGGAAUAGCCAGUGGAAACACUGGGUAACACCCCAUAAGCCCUUAGGGGGAAAAAUUUAUUGCUAUCAGAAAGGCCCACAUCGGAUUAGCUUGUUGGUGAGGUAAUUGCUCACCAAGGCUAUGAUCCGUAGCUGGUCUGAGAGGAUGAUCAGCCACACUGGAACUGAGACACGGUCCAGACUCCUACGGGAGGCAGCAGUGGGGAAUAUUGGACAAUGGGCGAAAGCCUGAUCCAGCCAUACCGCGUGAGUGAUGAAGGCCUUAGGGUUGUAAAGCUCUCUUAGUGGGGAAGAUAAUGACGGUACCCACAGAAAAAGUCCCGGCUAACUCCGUGC
rnacentral:rRNA from 1 species